GCCGGGUUUGGUGGUGCACGCCUGUAUUCCCAGCGGCUUGGGAGGCUAAGACAGGAGGAUCAUGAGUUCAAAGCCAGCUUUAGCAAUGGCGAGGCACUAAGCAACUCAGCGAGACCCUGUCUCUA
rnacentral:sRNA from 1 species